rnacentral:rRNA from 1 species
ACGGAAGGCAGCAGUGAGGAAUAUUGGUCAAUGGGCGGAAGCCUGAACCAGCCAAGUCGCGUGAAGGAUGAAGGUAUUAUGUAUUGUAAACUUCUUUAGCCAGGGGGCAAUAAGGCGUACGCGUACGCCGAUGAGAGUACCUGGAGAAUAAGGAUCGGCUAACUCCGUGCCAGCAGCCGCGGUAAUACGGAGGAUCCGAGCGUUAUCCGGAUUUAUUGGGUUUAAAGGGUGCGCAGGCGGCCCGUUAAGUCAGCGGUGAAAUGUCGGGGCUCAACCCGGGCACUGCCGUUGAAACUGGGGGGCUUGAGUACGGAUGAGGUCGGCGGAAUGUGACGUGUAGCGGUGAAAUGCAUAGAUAUGUCACAGAACACCGAUUGCGAAGGCAGCCGGCCAAUCCGCAACUGACGCUCAUGCACGAAAGCGUGGGGAUCGAACAGGAUUAGAUACCCUGGUA